AUGUACUUCUACUCAAAAGGAAUUGGCAAAAGACAUGGAGGCUGGAGGGGAAAAAAGCUGUGUUCUGUCAAUACCCAGUAUUUUGGAGACGGAACAAAAGUAACAGUUCUGGAGAAGAACAAAGAAAUCAUAUCACCGACUGUGGUCAUCUUUUCACCAUCAAAGCAAGAGAUUCAACAGAAGAAGAAGGCCACACUGGUAUGCCUGGCCUCUGGUUUCUACCCUGAUCACCUCAGUUUAGUCUGGACAAAGAAUGGCAAGAAGAUGACAGAAGGAGUGGGAACAGAUGAGACUUCCACACUAAAUGGGAGCACUUACGCAUUGACCAGCAGACUGAGAAUCUCAGCCCAAGAGUGGUUCAACCCUCUGAAUCGUUUUGAGUGUACUGCUGAAUUUUUUAAGAAUGGAAGUCUGGAAUUAAUACAUAAAUUCAUCUAUGGUGAUGCUGGCUGUUAUAUCUUCAGAGAAAACUAUCAGAGAAGUGCUACAGCUGGGAAGUUUGUAUACAUAAUGCUCAUUUUCAAGAGCAUUUUGUAUGGAAUAUUUGUGAUGGGGAUGAUGCUUUGGUACAAGAAAAUGUACUAGAUACGCUUUGCCCUGAAGAGGAGGACAGGUAUUAUGCAAGUGGAAAGCCUCAAAUCUUUAUAUAAAAGUUCUAAUUUGCUUCAGGAUCCAAUAAACAAAUUAUAUGGCAAUCUCCACCUA